rnacentral:rRNA from 1 species
GACGAACGCUGGCGGCGUGCCUAAUACAUGCAAGUCGAACGCUGAAGGAGGAGCUUGCUUCUCUGGAUGAGUUGCGAACGGGUGAGUAACGCGUAGGUAACCUGCCUGGUAGCGGGGGAUAACUAUUGGAAACGAUAGCUAAUACCGCAUAAUAUUGACUAUUGCAUGAUAGUCAGUUGAAAGGUGCAACUGCACCACUACCAGAUGGACCUGCGUUGUAUUAGCUAGUUGGUGGGGUAACGGCUCACCAAGGCGACGAUACAUAGCCGACCUGAGAGGGUGAUCGGCCACACUGGGACUGAGACACGGCCCAGACUCCUACGGGAGGCAGCAGUAGGGAAUCUUCGGCAAUGGACGGAAGUCUGACCGAGCAACGCCGCGGGAGUGAGGAAGGGUGUCGGAUCGUAAAGCUCGGUUGUAAGAGAAGAACGAGUGUGAGAGUGGAAAGCUCACACUGUGACGGUAGCUUACAAGAAAGGGACGGCUAACUACGUG